rnacentral:misc_RNA from 1 species
GAUGAAGAACGUAGCGAAAUGCGAUAAGUAAUGUGAAUUGCAGAAUUCAGUGAAUCAUCGAGUCUUUGAAUGCACAUUGCGCCCCCUGGUAUUCCGGGGGGCAUGCCUGUCCGAGCGUCAUUGCCGCCCUCAAGCACGGCUUGUGUGUUGGGCCCCCGCCCCCCGGCUUCGGGGGGCGGGCCCGAAAGGCAGCGGCGGCACCGCGUCCGGUCCUCGAGCGUAUGGGGCUUCGUCACCCGCUCUGUAGGCCCGGCCGGCGCCCGCCGGCGACCCCAAUCAAUCUUUCCAGGUUGACCUCGGAUCAGGUAGGGAUACCCGCUGAACUUAAGCAUAUCAAUAAGCGGAGGA